GACGAACGCUGGCGGCGUGCUUAACACAUGCAAGUCGAACGGAAAGGCCCUGCUUUUGUGGGGUGCUCGAGUGGCGAACGGGUGAGUAACACGUGAGUAACCUGCCCUUGACUUUGGGAUAACUUCAGGAAACUGGGGCUAAUACCGGAUAGGAGCUCCUGCUGCAUGGUGGGGGUUGGAAAGUUUCGGCGGUUGGGGAUGGACUCGCGGCUUAUCAGCUUGUUGGUGGGGUAGUGGCUUACCAAGGCUUUGACGGGUAGCCGGCCUGAGAGGGUGACCGGCCACAUUGGGACUGAGAUACGGCCCAGACUCCUACGGGAGGCAGCAGUGGGGAAUAUUGCACAAUGGGCGGAAGCCUGAUGCAGCAACGCCGCGUGCGGGAUGACGGCCUUCGGGUUGUAAACCGCUUUCGCCUGUGACGAAGCGUGAGUGACGGUAAUGGGUAAAGAAGCACCGGCUAACUACGUGCCAGCAGCCGCGGUGAUACGUAGGGUGCGAGCGUUGUCCGGAUUUAUUGGGCGUAAAGGGCUCGUAGGUGGUUGAUCGCGUCGGAAGUGUAAUCUUGGGGCUUAACCCUGAGCGUGCUUUCGAUACGGGUUGACUUGAGGAAGGUAGGGGAGAAUGGAAUUCCUGGUGGAGCGGUGGAAUGCGCAGAUAUCAGGAGGAACACCAGUGGCGAAGGCGGUUCUCUGGGCCUUUUCCUGACGCUGAGGAGCGAAAGCGUGGGGAGCGAACAGGCUUAGAUACCCUGGUAGUCCACGCUGUAAACGGUGGGUACUAGGUGUGGGGUCCAUUCCACGGGUUCCGUGCCGUAGCUAACGCUUUAAGUACCCCGCCUGGGGAGUACGGCCGCAAGGCUAAAACUCAAAGGAAUUGACGGGGCCCCGCACAAGCGGCGGAGCAUGCGGAUUAAUUCGAUGCAACGCGUAGAACCUUACCUGGGUUUGACAUGGAUCGGGAGUGCUCAGAGAUGGGUGUGCCUCUUUUGGGGUCGGUUCACAGGUGGUGCAUGGCUGUCGUCAGCUCGUGUCGUGAGAUGUUGGGUUAAGUCCCGCAACGAGCGCAACCCUUGUUCACUGUUGCCAGCACGUUAUGGUGGGGACUCAGUGGAGACCGCCGGGGUCAACUCGGAGGAAGGUGGGGAUGACGUCAAGUCAUCAUGCCCCUUAUGUCCAGGGCUUCACGCAUGCUACAAUGGCUGGUACAGAGAGUGGCGAGCCUGUGAGGGUGAGCGAAUCUCGGAAAGCCGGUCUCAGUUCGGAUUGGGGUCUGCAACUCGACCUCAUGAAGUCGGAGUCGCUAGUAGUCGCAGAUCAGCAACGCUGCGGUGAAUACGUUCCCGGG
rnacentral:rRNA from 1 species